rnacentral:tRNA from 1 species
GAAUAUGAAGCGAUUUAUUGCAAUUAGUUUCGACCUAAUUCUAGGUAACAAAAUACCCCUAUUCU